rnacentral:lncRNA from 1 species
CGGCGAUGAAGUAUUGGAAGAGGGCAGCUGAGUCUCGGCUCGGACGUCGAAGGGAAUCCUGUCUCUGAUUGGUCAGCCUACGGAAGGCUGUGAUUAAAGAGACAGAAGUGCUGCUCAAAGCAACCUGACUUAAAAGAUGGAAGGGAGGAGGAUUUGGGAAGUGAUCGGGUGCUGCAGGAAUUUUGUGCUGAUGGAGCCUUCCAACCGGGUACAUGCAUGCAAGACUUAAUCGAGAUGUGGAAAAUAUGGAAACAACGAGGAUAGGCAGGACUGAGAUCUGGAUAUGCUUCAAGGUCCAGACUAUGGGAAGCCCCGAAAAAUUAAUAAUUAUAAUUUGGAUGGUAAUUUGGUCUUUUUUAUUUUAGUUUUUUGUUUUAAUUGGAUUAUGAUUUGAAAUGUUAAUU